UACGUAGGGUGCAAGCGUUAUCCGGAAUUAUUGGGCGUAAAGGGCGCGUAGGCGGCCUGGCAAGUGGAUGGUGAAAUCCCUCGGCUUAACCGAGGAACUGCCAUCCAGACUGCUUGGCUUGAGACCGGGAGAGGUGAGUGGAAUUCCCAGUGUAGCGGUGAAAUUCGUAGAUAUUCGGAGGAACACCAGUGGCGAAGGCGGCUCACUGGUCCGGUACUGACGCUGAGGUGCGAAAGCGUGGGGAGCAAACAGG
rnacentral:rRNA from 1 species